GACGAACGCUGGCGGCGUGCUUAACACAUGCAAGUCGAACGGAAAGGCCCCCACCUUGGUGGGGGUGCUCGAGUGGCGAACGGGUGAGUAACACGUGGGUGAUCUGCCCUGUACUUCGGGAUAAGCUUGGGAAACUGGGUCUAAUACCGGAUAGGACCAUGGUUUAGUGUCUCAUGGUGGAAAAAUUAUUGUUUUGGUGCAGGAUGAGCUCGCGGCCUAUCAGCUUGUUGGUGGGGUAAUGGCCUACCAAGGCGUCGACGGGUAGCCGGCCUGAGAGGGUGGACGGCCACAUUGGGACUGAGAUACGGCCCAGACUCCUACGGGAGGCAGCAGUGGGGAAUAGUGCACAAUGGGCGCAAGCCUGAUGCAGCGACGCCGCGUGGGGGAUGACGGCCUUCGGGUUGUAAACUCCUUUCGUUAGGGACGAAGCCACACCUUUUUUGGGUGUGGUGACGGUACCUUUGUUAAGAAGCACCGGCUAACUACGUG
rnacentral:rRNA from 1 species